rnacentral:rRNA from 1 species
UGGGGAAUUUUGGACAAUGGGCGAAAGCCUGAUCCAGCAAUGCCGCGUGUGUGAAGAAGGCCUUCGGGUUGUAAAGCACUUUUGUCCGGAAAGAAAUCCUUGGCUCUAAUACAGUCGGGGGAUGACGGUACCGGAAGAAUAAGCACCGGCUAACUACGUGCCAGCAGCCGCGGUNNAAUACGUAGGGUGCAAGCGUUAAAUCGGAAAUUACUGGGCGUAAAGCGUGCGCAGGCGGUUUGCUAAAGACCGAUGUGAAAAUCCCCGGGCUCAACCUGGGAACUGCAUUGGUGACUGGCAGGCUAGAGUAUGGCAGAGGGGGGUAGAAUUCCACGUGUAGCAGAUGAAAUGCGUAGAGAUGUGGAGGAAUACCGAUGGCGAAAGGCAGCCCCCUGGGCCAAUACUGACGCUCAUGCACG